CUACGGGGUGCUCCAGUAAGGAAUAUUGCGCAAUGGAGGCAACUCUGACGCAGCCAUGCCGCGUGCAGGAAGAAGGCCUUAUGGGUCGUAAACUGCUUUUAUUUAGGAAUAAACCCCCGAACGUGUUCGGGGCUGAAGGUACUAAACGAAUAAGCACCGGCGUAACUCCGUGCCAGCAGCCGCGGUAAUACGGAGGGUGCAAGCGUUAUCCGGAUUUAUUGGGUUUAAAGGGUGCGCAGGCGGGCUAUUAAGUCAGUGGUGAAAUCCCGGGGCUCAACUCCGGAACUGCCAUUGAUACUGAUAGUCUUGAGUUUGGUUGAAGUGGGCGGAAUGUAGCAUGUAGCAGUGAAAUGCAUAGAUAUGCUACAGAACACCAAUCGCGAAGGCAGCUCACUAAGCCAAAACUGACGCUCAUGCACGAAAGCGUGGGGAUCAAACAGGAUUAGAUACCCCGGUAGUC
rnacentral:rRNA from 1 species